GAUGAACGCUGGCGGCGUGCCUAAUACAUGCAAGUCGAGCGAACAGACGAGGAGCUUGCUCCUCUGACGUUAGCGGCGGACGGGUGAGUAACACGUGGAUAACCUACCUAUAAGACUGGGAUAACUUCGGGAAACCGGAUCUAAUACCGGAUAAUAUAUUUAAUCGCAUGGUUCAAUAGUGAAAGACGGUUUUGCUGUCACUUAUAGAUGUAUCCGCGCCGCAUUAGCUAGUUGGUAAGGUAACGGCGUACCAAGGCAACGAUGCGUAGCCGACCUGAGAGGGUGAUCGGCCACACUGGAACUGAGACACGGUCCAGACUCCUACGGGAGGCAGCAGUAGGGAAUCUUCCGCAAGGGGCGAAAGCCUGACGGAGCAACGCCGCGUGAGUGAUGAAGGUCUUCGGAUCGUAAAACUCUGUUAUUCGGGAAGAACAAAUGUGUAAGUAACUAUGCACGUAUUGACGGUACCUAAUCAGAAAGCCACGGCUAACUACGUG
rnacentral:rRNA from 1 species